UAACAAGGAUUCCCCUAGUAACUGCGAGUGAAGCGGGAAGAGCUCAAAUUUAAAAUCUGGCGGCUCUGCCGCCCGAGUUGUAGUCUGGAGAAGUGUUAUCCGCGUCGGACCGUGUACAAGUCUCCUGGAAUGGAGCGUCAUAGAGGGUGAGAAUCCCGUCCAUGACACGGACCUCCGACGCUUUGUGAGGCACUCUCAAAGAGUCGAGUUGUUUGGGAAUGCAGCUCAAAAUGGGUGGUAAAUUCCAUCUAAAGCUAAAUAUUGGCGAGAGACCGAUAGCGAACAAGUACCGUGAGGGAAAGAUGAAAAGCACUUUGGAAAGAGAGUUAAAGAGUACGUGAAAUUGUUGAAAGGGAAACGCUUGAAGUCAGUCGCGUCCCGUGGAACUCAGCCUGGCUUCGGCCUGGUGUACUUUCCUUGGGACGGGUCAACAUCAAUUUCAGCCGGUGGAAAAGGGCGAGGGGAAUGUAGCGUCGUCUCGGCGGCGUGUUAUAGCCUCCUGUCGUAUGCACUGGCCGGGAUUGAGGACCGCAGCACGCCCUUGUGGCCGGGGUUUGCCCACGUAACGUGCUUAGGAUGUUGGCAUAAUGGCUUUAAGCGACCCGUCUUGAAACACGGACCAAGGAGUCUAACAUGCUUGCGAGUGUUCGGGUGAAAAACCCUUGCGCGUAAUGAAAGUGAAAGUUGGGAGCCUCCGCAAGGGGGUGCACCGACGCCCGGCCCUGACGUUCUCUGACGGUGCUGCGGUAGAGCAGGUAUGUUGGGACCCGAAAGAUGGUGAACUAUGCCUGAAUAGGGCGAAGCCAGAGGAAACUCUGGUGGAGGCUCGUAGCGAUUCUGACGUGCAAAUCGAUCGUCAAAUUUGGG
rnacentral:rRNA from 1 species